CCGCGGAUCAUCUUAACACGUCCCGCGCUUCUAGAAUAAUCUACCCACCACUAUAUAUGAACCACUACCCCGAAGUUCCGAGAGAGGAAAGAGGGAGGAGAUCGGAGGAGAGGCGACAUGGAUCUUGAGGCCAAUUCCUUCCUUGGAGAUGGAUGUUGAGGCGAACAUCUUCUGCUUCCUCCCUCCCUCCGAUCCUUGAGUCUUAACCCUAGACGGAGAAAUGGUGAGCGAUGAUAGAAUGGCGGAGAUCCUCCUAGUCUUCUGUGCGCGAAGCAAUUUCCAUCCGGAUCUUUUCCUAUCGAGAUAAAGCCGCGUGCGGGCAUAUCACACAUUGUUAAUUGCACAAAGGUUAUCGCGUAUGUUCAUAGUUUGAAGGUGAGCACAUGUCGCUGGCAUAGUUGAUUGUGUUCAAUGAUUUGGUGGUUCGACAUUUUGAUUAUUUUUUGUGUUCCGUGUAAAAGUUAUUAUUUUUCACUUUGGCAAUAUUUUCUUUAUUUUUUAACUAUAAUGAUGGUUGUAAAAAAAUGUUCAUGUGACGAUGGCGUGUGUAUAUAUAUUUUGGUCGUC